UACAGAGGUCCCAAGCGUUGUUCGGAUUCACUGGGCGUAAAGGGUGCGUAGGCGGUCGGGUAAGUCUGAUGUGAAAUCUCACAGCUUAACUGUGAAACUGCAUUGGAUACUAUUCGGCUUGAGGUCUAGAGGGGGGACUGGAAUUCUCGGUGUAGCAGUGAAAUGCGUAGAUAUCGAGAGGAACACCAGUGGCGAAGGCGAGUCCCUGGACAGGUCCUGACGCUGAGGCACGAAAGCUAGGGGAGCAAACAGG
rnacentral:rRNA from 1 species